rnacentral:rRNA from 1 species
GAUGAACGCUGGCGGCGUGCCUAAUACAUGCAAGUCGAGCGAACGGACGAGAAGCUUGCUUCUCUGAUGUUAGCGGCGGACGGGUGAGUAACACGUGGAUAACCUACCUAUAAGACUGGGAUAACUUCGGGAAACCGUAGCUAAUACCGGAUAAUAUUUUGAACCGCAAGGUUCAAAAGUGAAAGACGGUCUUGCUGUCACUUAUAGAUGGAUCCGCGCUGCAUUAGCUAGUUGGUAAGGUAACGGCUUACCAAGGCAACGAUGGAUAGCCGACCUGAGAGGGUGAUCGGCCACACGGGAACUGAGACACGGUCCAGACUCCUACGGGAGGCAGCAGUAGGGAAUCUUCCGCAAUGGGCGAAAGCCUGACGGAGCAACGCCGCGUGAGUGAUGAAGGUCUUCGGAUCGUAAAACUCUGUUAUUAGGGAAGAACAUAUGUGUAAGUAACUGUGCACAUCUUGACGGUACCUAAUCAGAAAGCCACGGCUAACUACGUG